rnacentral:rRNA from 1 species
GACGAACGCUGGCGGCGUGCUUAACACAUGCAAGUCGAAGAUAGUGGCGAACGGGUGAGUAAUACGUGGGUAACCUGCCCUCCUUUUUGGGAUAAGCCUUGGAAACGGGGUCUAAUACCGAAUAAAGGGGGAUGGGCUCGCGGCCUAUCAGCUGGUUGGUGGGGUGAGGGCCUACCAAGGCGGUGACGGGUAGACGGCCUGAGAGGGUGACCGGCCACAUUGGGACUGAGAUACGGCCCAGACUCCUACGGGAGGCAGCAGUGGGGGAUAUUGCACAAUGGGCGAAAGCCUGAUGCAGCGACGCCGCGUGGGGGAUGAAGGCUUUCGUGUUGUAAACCUCUUGCGCUAUCUAACGGGUAUGUGGAGAAGAAGCGCCGGCUAACUACGUGCCAGCAGCCGCGGUAAUAC